rnacentral:rRNA from 1 species
GUGACAGCCGCCGCGGUAAUACGUAGGUGGCAAGCGUUGUCCGGAAUUAUUGGGCGUAAAGAGCAUGUAGGUGGAUACUUAAGUCUGUUGUGAAAAUGCGGGGCUCAACCCCGUAUUGCGAUGGAAACUGGGUGUCUUGAGUGCAGGAGAGGAAAGGGGAAUUCCCAGUGUAGCGGUGAAAUGCGUAGAGAUUAGGAGGAACACCAGUGGCGAAGGCGACUUUCUGGACUGUAACUGACACUGAGGCUCGAAAGCCAGGGGAGCGAACGGGAUUAGAUACCCGAGUAGUCC